UACGGAGGGAGCUAGCGUUAUUCGGAAUUACUGGGCGUAAAGCGCACGUAGGCGGCUUUGUAAGUUAGAGGUGAAAGCCUGGAGCUCAACUCCAGAAUUGCCUUUAAGACUGCAUCGCUUGAAUCCAGGAGAGGUGAGUGGAAUUCCGAGUGUAGAGGUGAAAUUCGUAGAUAUUCGGAAGAACACCAGUGGCGAAGGCGGCUCACUGGACUGAUAUUGACGCUGAGGUGCGAAAGCUAGGGUAGCAAACGGG
rnacentral:rRNA from 1 species